AGUGAACGCUGGCGGUAGGCCUAACACAUGCAAGUCGAACGGCAGCACAGUAAGAGCUUGCUCUUACGGGUGGCGAGUGGCGGACGGGUGAGGAAUACAUCGGAAUCUACUUUUUCGUGGGGAUAACGUAGGGAAACUUAAGCUAAUACCGCAUACGACCUACGGGGGAAAGCAGGGGAACUUCGGACCUUGCGCGAUUGAAUGAGCCGAUGUCGGAUUAGCUAGUUGGCGGGGUAAAGGCCCACCAAGGCGACGAUCCGUAGCUGGUCUGAGAGGAUGAUCAGCCACACUGGAACUGAGACACGGUCCAGACUCCUACGGGAGGCAGCAGUGGGGAAUAUUGGACAAUGGGCGCAAGCCUGAUCCAGCCAUACCGCGUGGGUGAAGAAGGCCUUCGGGUUGUAAAGCCCUUUUGUUGGGAAAGAAAAGCAGCAGGUUAAUACCCCGCUGUUCUGACGGUACCCAAAGAAUAAGCACCGGCUAACUUCGUG
rnacentral:rRNA from 1 species